UUAAAUUGAAGAGUUUGAUCAUGGCUCAGAUUGAACGCUGGCGGCAGGCCUAACACAUGCAAGUCGAACGGUAGCACAGAGAGCUUGCUCUCGGGUGACGAGUGGCGGACGGGUGAGUAAUGUCUGGGAAACUGCCUGAUGGAGGGGGAUAACUACUGGAAACGGUGGCUAAUACCGCAUAACGUCGCAAGACCAAAGAGGGGGACCUUCGGGCCUCUUGCCAUCAGAUGUGCCCAGAUGGGAUUAGCUAGUUGGUGAGGUAACGGCUCACCAAGGCGACGAUCCCUAGCUGGUCUGAGAGGAUGACCAGCCACACUGGAACUGAGACACGGUCCAGACUCCUACGGGAGGCAGCAGUGGGGAAUAUUGCACAAUGGGCGCAAGCCUGAUGCAGCCAUGCCGCGUGUAUGAAGAAGGCCUUCGGGUUGUAAAGUACUUUCAGCGGGGAGGAAGGUGUUGUGGUUAAUAACCGCAGCAAUUGACGUUACCCGCAGAAGAAGCACCGGCUAACUCCGUGCCAGCAGCCGCGGUAAUACGGAGGGUGCAAGCGUUAAUCGGAAUUACUGGGCGUAAAGCGCACGCAGGCGGUCUGUCAAGUCGGAUGUGAAAUCCCCGGGCUCAACCUGGGAACUGCAUUCGAAACUGGCAGGCUUGAGUCUUGUAGAGGGGGGUAGAAUUCCAGGUGUAGCGGUGAAAUGCGUAGAGAUCUGGAGGAAUACCGGUGGCGAAGGCGGCCCCCUGGACAAAGACUGACGCUCAGGUGCGAAAGCGUGGGGAGCAAACAGGAUUAGAUACCCUGGUAGUCCACGCCGUAAACGAUGUCUACUUGGAGGUUGUGCCCUUGAGGCGUGGCUUCCGGAGCUAACGCGUUAAGUAGACCGCCUGGGGAGUACGGCCGCAAGGUUAAAACUCAAAUGAAUUGACGGGGGCCCGCACAAGCGGUGGAGCAUGUGGUUUAAUUCGAUGCAACGCGAAGAACCUUACCUGGUCUUGACAUCCACAGAACUUUCCAGAGAUGGAUUGGUGCCUUCGGGAACUGUGAGACAGGUGCUGCAUGGCUGUCGUCAGCUCGUGUUGUGAAAUGUUGGGUUAAGUCCCGCAACGAGCGCAACCCUUAUCCUUUGUUGCCAGCGGUCCGGCCGGGAACUCAAAGGAGACUGCCAGUGAUAAACUGGAGGAAGGUGGGGAUGACGUCAAGUCAUCAUGGCCCUUACGACCAGGGCUACACACGUGCUACAAUGGCGCAUACAAAGAGAAGCGACCUCGCGAGAGCAAGCGGACCUCAUAAAGUGCGUCGUAGUCCGGAUUGGAGUCUGCAACUCGACUCCAUGAAGUCGGAAUCGCUAGUAAUCGUGGAUCAGAAUGCCACGGUGAAUACGUUCCCGGGCCUUGUACACACCGCCCGUCACACCAUGGGAGUGGGUUGCAAAAGAAGUAGGUAGCUUAACCUUCGGGAGGGCGCUUACCACUUUGUGAUUCAUGACUGGGGUGAAGUCGUAACAAGGUAACCGUAGGGGAACCUGCGGUUGGAUCACCUCCUUACCUUAAAGAAGC
rnacentral:rRNA from 2 species